GUCGAAGGUGGGGCUGAUGACUGGGGUGAAGUCGUAACAAGGUAUCCGUACCGGAAGGUGCGGAUGGAUCACCUCCUAACAGGGAGACAAAACAAUGAUUUUGAUGUCUGAGUAUUUUACUCUUAGGCCGAAAUCCUGUCACCUUAGGUCGAUCGGUACCUCAACAUUUUUCCAAAGAUUGGUGAGCAAUCAUCAAGAGAUUGGAAGGGAUGUUCAGUUCCUAAACUUUGUCUAGGUCACACCCCGCAAGGGAAGAGUCCCCUGGGCCAUUAGCUCAGGUGGUUAGAGCGCACCCCUGAUAAGGGUGAGGUCCCUGGUUCAAGUCCAGGAUGGCCCAUUCGGUGUUGGGGGUUUAGCUCAGUUGGUAGAGCGCCUGCUUUGCAAGCAGGAUGUCAGGAGUUCGAGUCUCCUAACCUCCACUGACAGAACUCAAUCUCCAUUGUCCGAUAACUCGGAGGAUGAACUCGAUGGCGUGUGAUUUAGAUGUGUCCACUAGAUAGGACCCUAGCUUCUUGUCAUUCCGAACAAGUAAUUAUUGCUUGAUUGGCUGAUAUGAUGCUGGGCUCAGAUUAAUCGAAAGAUUAAUUUGAUCUCUAGUAGAACCUUGACAACUGCAUAAGUAAGUCUGGAAAAACGAAGCAUCUUACAGAUGCAUUGUUUUAAGUCUAAAUUCUCGAAAGAGAGUUUAGAUCUAGAAUGAUGAAAAUUCUUUUAAGCAAGAGCCGAGACUCUUAGAUGUUCUUUUUAUCGUGUCGAGCGAUAAAGAGUUUGAUUUUGUUUUUAUGAGUAGCGAAAGUUGCUGAUGAAACCAGAAGAAUCUGCUUUCAACCGCAGUAAGCGUUUAAGAGGUUAAUUGGUCAAGCUACAAAGGGCUCACGG
rnacentral:misc_RNA from 1 species